rnacentral:scRNA from 1 species
UGGUCGAUGAUGACUAGCCCACUGCGCAAGCUGAUCAGUGCAUAUUUGUGGUGCAUUGCUGGAGAAAUCAGUGCUGCUUAUUGGCUGAGACCC